rnacentral:rRNA from 1 species
AAUGAACGCUGGCGGCAGGCCUAACACAUGCAAGUCGAGCGAGGACUUCGGUCCUAGCGGCGGACGGGUGAGUAACGCGUGGGAAUAUGCCCUUUGGUACGGAAUAGCCUCGGGAAACUGGGAGUAAUACCGUAUGUGCCCUUCGGGGGAAAGAUUUAUCGCCAAAGGAUUAGCCCGCGUUGGAUUAGGUAGUUGGUGGGGUAAUGGCCUACCAAGCCGACGAUCCAUAGCUGGUUUGAGAGGAUGAUCAGCCACACUGGGACUGAGACACGGCCCAGACUCCUACGGGAGGCAGCAGUGGGGAAUCUUAGACAAUGGGCGCAAGCCUGAUCUAGCCAUGCCGCGUGAUCGAUGAAGGCCUUAGGGUUGUAAAGAUCUUUCAGAUGGGAAGAUAAUGACUGUACCAUCAGAAGAAGCCCCGGCUAACUCCGUGCCAGCAGCCGCGGUAAUGUCACAUGU